UACGGGGGGGGCAAGCGGUUGUUCGGAAUUACUGGGCGUAAAGGGCUCGUAGGUGGCCAACUAAGUCAGACGUGAAAUCCCUCGGCUUAACCGGGGAACUGCGUCUGAUACUGGAUGGCUUGAGAUUGGGAGAGGGAUGCGGAAUUCCAGGUGUAGCGGUGAAAUGCGUAGAUAUCUGGAGGAACACCGGUGGCGAAGGCGGCAUCCUGGACCAACACUGACACUGAGGAGCGAAAGCCAGGGGAGCAAACGGG
rnacentral:rRNA from 1 species